UUUUAAACAGUUUGAAAUGAAAUAGUAUAUGUAAUGUUUUUCUUAUUAGUUGCUGGGAAAUACGGCACGUUUUGAAGCCACAGAUGCGCCUACAGCCAGUGAAGACUCGGAGCAAGAGGCCGUCGCUUCCCUGGCUUCUCAGCCAAAAUCUGUGCUUCACUUUGGCUCACAGUGUCACAUAAGACCUCCUUAUCGUUCAUCAGCUAUCCAGGUACAGACACAGACGGUCAGUGUGGGGACACAGACCGAACUCUGUGUAUCAUCAAUUCCACUGCCCAGUCCAGUACAAACAGAGGAUGAAUCAUCCUCUGUUUCAAGAGAUCAACCAGAUGACAGGUCAUGGAGUGAAGUGGAAGAGAUGAGCGUGUCAUCUUCUGAGGAGGAGUCAGAGCCACAGCAGGGUUGUCAGUGGGACUUCGGGUAAGACAACUUCCUUAACUUUUAGAUUUUGUUUUUUCAAAAUUCUGUCCGUCAGAAAUAAUAAGUGUUUUGUUUUUCCAGAGUUGCAGACAAGUUCAUUGUCUGUCUCACCCAGCUGAUGGCUCGCUUCACCAUUUGUCCUGCCUGUUGUGGGGAAACCCAUGGUAACGUGGAGCAGCAGCAGGGAACAUUUGUUCAGAUCAAGCAAGUCUGUGCAGCUUGUGGGUUCGAGCGUGUCUGGCAGAACCAGCCAGUGCUGCAUAGAAACAUGCCAGCCUGCAACCUGAUGCUUAGUGGGGCCAUCCACUUUUCUGGUUGUAUGGCUACACAAACACUUAGGAUGUUAAAACUGUUUGGCCUUCAAUGUUUUACUGCAAACACAUUCUUCCGCCAUCAACGCCUUUACACAAUUCCCACCAUUGUGCAGGCGUGGAAGAAUGAGCAAGCUGGCAUAGUCAGCCAGCUGAAGGAGAUGGGGGGGGGUCUAAUCCUCUCAGGUGACUGCAGGUAUAACACCUCGCUUGUAUACUUUUAUAUGUUACCGUUACGUGCCGUAGUGUGUUGGUUUUGGGCUUGUUUCGUUUUGUGUUUUGUG